rnacentral:rRNA from 1 species
CGGGGCUUAAAGUCUUGUAAUUGGAAUGAUGGGAAUUUAAACCUCUUCCAGAGUAUCAAUUGGAGGGCAAGUCUGGUGCCAGCAGCCGCGGUAAUUCCAGCUCCGAUAGCGUAUAUUAAAAUUGUUGCAGUUAAAAAGCUCGUAGUUGAAUUUCUGCUGCAUUGCUUGUGUCCCUCUGGGGUCUGUGCAUGUGGCUUUUUUCGGACGGAGUUUCUUUGUCUGAAUGUUUACUUUGAGAAAAUUAGAGUGCUCAAAGCAGGCUUUCGCCUUGAAUAGUUUAGCAUGGAAUAAUAAAGUAGGACUUUGGUUCUAUUUUGUUGGUUUUAGGUACCAAAGUAAUGGUUAAUAGGAACAGUUGGGGGCAUUCGUAUUUAACUGUCAGAGGUGAAAUUCUUAGAUUUGUUAAAGACGAACUACUGCGAAAGCAUUUGCCAAGGAUGUUUUCAUUAAUCAAGAAC